AAGACCCUAUAUAAAAAGAUCAAAGAGUUUGGGUUGUCUUCUCUCUAUUAUUGGUUUUUUUUUUCUUCCUUCCUUUAAUAGUUUUAUUAUUUUCAAGUCCAAAAAUAACCAAUGAGGAACUAAUUUUCUUUUUCAUCUAGAUGUUAUCAUAGCUUUCAUCUCAAUAUAUUCAACGAUUAAAUGCCAUGUGUGCCAUUGAAUAUUGAUGUUUUACAUUGGUCCUAUUUAAGAGAAAUGGUCAUGGUUUUCUUGUACAGCCCUUCUUUCCUCGUUUUUGUUUUUUUUUUUUACAUUAUAUUGCACCAACCGCUAACAACUUCUUUCUCCAACUUGGCCUAGAAUGUUUUCUUUAGACCCUUUAUUUCUUUUGUCUAUUUCUGUGUUCUUGUCCAUGGAUGAUCCAAAUGGUCAUCAUAUUUGAUCCAAAAUAAAGUUUGAUAUUUUGAGAGACAAACACAGAGAGGGAGAGAGAAAUGUCGAAUUCUAUGGGAGUUGGAUUCAUGGCAGUCUUUGCGGUCUCAGGAAGUGUAGUUCUUCUUGUUCAUCAACUCCAUAAGCGCCUGCUUUCGGAUUUCAUGAAAAAGGUUGAAUCUGAAUAUGGUACCAUCUUGUACUCCCAUGGUAAAAACAAGAUAAAGGGAUCUGAGAAAUGUCAAUCAAAGAAGAAGGUCCGAUUUGCAGAUGAUGUUGAAGAACCAUCAUCGAAUAAUGAGGAAUAUCGCAAAAGGAAGUUGCUAAAGUAUAAGCAGGUUUUGGCAAUGAAGUAUGUACAAGGCUCUGGCAAUGGCAAAUAAAUAAAUAAAAGGCUCUAGUAGUGGUGACAACUUAGAGCAUACCAUUCCAGCCAACAGGAAAGCUCUAUGAAAAGGGAUAGUUGAAAAUAAAAAGACCCCCUAUUUGUAAAAUACUAAAAUGUAGUUUUUUUUGUUUUUGUUUUUGUUUUUGUAGGGGUAGAGUUUAUAUUUUAUCUAGUGGUUUUUAAUCUUCUUUAUAUGAUAGAUAGGUGUACAGAGGUGUUGUAAGUAUCAGAAAUUCCAAUAAAGGGCUCUAUUAUCAUCUUCUUCUU